rnacentral:rRNA from 1 species
GACGAACGCUGGCGGCGCGCCUAAUACAUGCAAGUCGAACGUGAAGCGGGGCUUCGGCCCCGUGGAAAGUGGCGAACGGGUGCGUAACACGUGAGCAACCUGCCCCGGAGACCGGGAUAACCAGGGGAAACCCUGGCUAAUACCGGAUGUCCUCAGCGGAUCGCAUGGUCUGGUGAGGAAAUGGAUUCCGCUCCGGGAUGGGCUCGCGGCCUAUCAGCUUGUUGGGGGGGUAAUGGCCUACCAAGGCGACGAUCCUUAGCUGGUCUGAGAGGAUGAUCAGCCACACUGGGACUGAGACACGGCCCAGACUCCUACGGGAGGCAGCAGUGGGGAAUAUUGGACAAUGGGCGAAAGCCUGAUCCAGCAAUGCCGCGUGAGUGAUGGAGGCCUUAGGGUUGUAAAGCUCUUUUACCAGGGAUGAUAAUGACAGUACCUGGAGAAUAAGCUCCGGCUAACUCCGUGCCAGCCGCCGCCGUAAAAC